rnacentral:rRNA from 1 species
GCGGCGUGCCUAACACAUGCAAGUCGAACGGAGAAUUUCAAUAAGCUUGCUUAGAGAAAUUCUUAGUGGCGGACGGGUGAGUAACGCGUGGGUAACCUACCCAUAAAGCCGGGACAACCCUUGGAAACGAGGGCUAAUACCGGAUAAUCUUGGAGCUUGGCAUCAAGCUUUAAGGAAAGGUGGCCUCUGAAAAUGCUACCGAUUAUGGAUGGACCCGCGUNUGAUUAGCUAGUUGGUGGGGUAAAGGCCUACCAAGGCGACGAUCAGUAGCCGGCCUGAGAGGGUGAACGGCCACACUGGGACUGAGACACGGCCCAGACUCCUACGGGAGGCAGCAGUGGGGAAUCUUCCGCAAUGGACGAAAGUCUGACGGAGCAACGCCGCGUGUAUGAUGAAGGUCUUCGGAUUGUAAAGUACUGUGCUUUGGGGAAGAACGGUCUUCUUGAGAAUAUUGAGGAGACAUGACGGUACCCAAGGAGGAAGCCCCGGCUAACU